ensembl:misc_RNA Metazoa_SRP Metazoan signal recognition particle RNA
GCCGGGUGUGGUGGCUCACACCUGUAAUCCCAGCACUUUGGGAGGCUGAGGCAGGUGGAUUACUUGAGGCCAGGAGUUCAAGACCAGCCUGGCCAACAUGGUGAAAUCCCGUCUCUA